rnacentral:rRNA from 1 species
GCAGUAGCCGCGGUAAUACGGAGGGUGCAAGCGUUAAUCGGAAUUACUGGGCGUAAAGCGCACGCAGGCGGUCUGACAAGUCAGAUGUGAAAUCCCCGGGCUUAACCUGGGAACUGCAUUUGAAACUGUCAGGCUGGAGUCUUGUAGAGGGGGGUAGAAUUCCAGGUGUAGCGGUGAAAUGCGUAGAGAUCUGGAGGAAUACCGGUGGCGAAGGCGGCCCCCUGGACAAAGACUGACGCUCAGGUGCGAAAGCGUGGGGAGCAAACAGGAUUAGAUACCCCAGUAGUCCCUGUCUCUUAUAC